CAAAAAUAGGUACGUUACAUAAAAAACUGCUUAACUUUUUAUUGCAAUUCGAAUAAUAUUGAAAUAAAAAUAUUGAUUUACAAGAAAAUCGAUAAAGGCGAAAAUGUUUGAACAUUUAGUACUAGUCCAAGUGGCCGCGUCUUUUUAUACCAUUUCUGGAAACUUUCUCGUUCCAAGAGAAUCGAUUCCUCUACACGAAUAUCAAUCGAAACAUGUACCUCUAUCGUAUGAAGAACAUUUAGAAGAACCCCCUUUUAAUAUUCAGAAUUAUCAGUACAGGAAAACUAAAGAUCUUAGGGAUGGCAAAGAUAAGUUAUUAGAGGCAGAAAAUGCGUACUACCGUCGAGUUCGUAAUUACCACAAAACUCAUCCAUCAUCAAAUAAAACACCAAGCCCAAAAUGAUGGAAAUAUUAACACAAAA